rnacentral:rRNA from 1 species
CUAAGGCGCUUGAGAGAACUCUGCUGAAGGAACUAGGCAAAAUAGUACCGUAACUUCGGGAGAAGGCACGCUGUUGAUGGUGAAGGAUUUACUCCGUAAGCUAUCGGCAGCCUCAGAAACUAGGCCGCUGCAACUGUUUAUUAAAAACACAGCACUCUGCAAACACGAAAGUGGACGUAUAGGGUGUGAUGCCUGCCCGGUGCUGGAAGGUUAAUUGAUGGGGUUAGCGAAAGCGAAGCUCUUGAUCGAAGCCCCAGUAAACGGCGGCCGUAACAAUAACGGUCCUAAGGUAGCGAAAUUCCUUGUCGGGUAAGUUCCGACCUGCACGAAUGGCAUAAUGAUGGCGGCGCUGUCUCCAGCAGAGACUCAGUGAAAUCGAAAUCGCGGUGAAGAUGCCGUGUACCCGCGGCUAGACGGAAAGACCCCGUGAGCCUUUACUGCAGCUUUGCAUUGAACUUUGACCUUACUUGUGUAGGAUAGGUGGGAGGCUUUGAAGCUCGGACGCCAGUUCGAGUGGAGCCAUCCUUGAAAUACCACCCUGGUAAUGUCGAGGUUCUAACCCAGAUCCGUUAUCCGGAUCGGGGACAGUGUAUGGUGGGUAGUUUGACUGGGGCGGUCUCCUCCUAAAGAGUAACGGAGGAGUACGAAGGUGCGCUCAGCGUGGUCGGAAAUCACGCAAUGAGUAUAAAGGCAAAAGCGCGCUUAACUGCGAGACCGACAAGUCGAGCAGGUACGAAAGUAGGUCUUAGUGAUCCGGUGGUUCUGUAUGGAAGGGCCAUCGCUCAACGGAUAAAAGGUACUCUGGGGAUAACAGGCUGAUACCGCCCAAGAGUUCAUAUCGACGGCGGUGUUUGGCACCUCGAUGUCGGCUCAUCUCAUCCUGGGGCUGAAGCAGGUCCCAAGGGUAUGGCUGUUCGCCAUUUAAAGAGGUACGUGAGCUGGGUUUAGAACGUCGUGAGACAGUUCGGUCCCUAUCUACCGUGGGCGUUGGAGACUUGAGAGGAUCUGCUUCUAGUACGAGAGGGCCGAAGUGGACGUACCUCUGGUGUUCGGGUUGUCACGCCAGUGGCACUGCCCGGUAGCUAUGUACGGACGGGAUAACCGCUGAAAGCAUCUAAGCGGGAAGCCUACCUUAAGAUAAGGUCUCCCUGGGGGUUUAACCCCCCUAAAGAGCCGUUAGAGACCAUGACGUUGAUAGGUUCGGUGUGGAAGUGCGGUGACGCAUGAAGCUAACGAAUACUAAUUGCUCGUGAGGCUUGACUG